UACGAAGGGGGCUAGCGUUGCUCGGAAUCACUGGGCGUAAAGCGCACGUAGGCGGCUUGUUAAGUCAGGGGUGAAAUCCCGGAGCUCAACUUCGGAACUGCCUCUGAUACAGCACGUCUUGAGUCCGGAAGAGGUGGGUGGAAUUCCUAGUGUAGAGGUGAAAUUCGUAGAUAUUAGGAAGAACACCGGUGGCGAAGGCGGCCCACUGGUCCGGUACUGACGCUGAGGUGCGAAAGCGUGGGGAGCAAACAGG
rnacentral:rRNA from 1 species